GGGCCCGCACAAGCGGUGGAGCAUGUGGUUUAAUUCGAAGCAACGCGAAGAACCUUACCAGGUCUUGACAUCCCUUGACAGCCACAGAGAUGUGGUCUCUCUUCGGAGCAAGGAGACAGGUGGUGCAUGGUUGUCGUCAGCUCGUGUCGUGAGAUGUUGGGUUAAGUCCCGCAACGAGCGCAACCCUUGCCUUUAGUUGCCAGCAUUAAGUUGGGCACUCUAAAGGGACUGCCGGUGACAAAUCGGAGGAAGGUGGGGAUGACGUCAAAUCAUCAUGCCCCUUAUGACCUGGGCUACACACGUGCUACAAUGGUCUGUACAGAGGGCAGCGAAGCAGUGAUGCGGAGCGAAUCCCAGAAAGCAGAUCUCAGUUCGGAUUGCAGGCUGCAACUCGCCUGCAUGAAGUCGGAAUCGCUAGUAAUCGCAGGUCAGCAUACUGCGGUGAAUACGUUCCCGGGCCUU
rnacentral:rRNA from 1 species